UACGAAGGGGGCUAGCGUUGUUCGGAAUCACUGGGCGUAAAGCGUAUGUAGGCGGAUUGUUAAGUCAGGGGUGAAAUCCCGGAGCUCAACUUUGGAACUGCCUUUGAUACAGCACGUCUUGAGUCCGAUAGAGGUGGGUGGAAUUCCUAGUGUAGAGGUGAAAUUCGUAGAUAUUAGGAAGAACACCGGUGGCGAAGGCGGCGACCUGGUCCUUAUACUGACGCUGAGGCGCGAAAGCGUGGGGAGCAAACAGG
rnacentral:rRNA from 1 species